CUUAUCGCUAUAUUCCAAUUAAUGU
rnacentral:miRNA from 1 species